UACGGAGGGUGCAAGCAUUAAUCGGAUUUAUUGGGCGUAAAGGGCGCGUAGGCGGAUGGGCAAGUCAAUUGUGAAAUUCCGAUGCUCAACAUCGGAACUGCAAUUGAAACUACCUAUCUUGAGGAUAGGCGGAGAAAACGGAAUUCCACGUGUAGCGGUGAAAUGCGUAGAUAUGUGGAAGAACAUCUGUGGCGAAGGCGGUUUUCUAGCUUAUACCUGACGCUGAGGCGCGAGAGCAUGGGUAGCAAACAGG
rnacentral:misc_RNA from 1 species